UUAAUAUGCAAAUGUAGGGUGCCAUGAUA
rnacentral:piRNA from 1 species